UACGUAGGGUGCGAGCGUUGUCCGGAAUUAUUGGGCGUAAAGGGCUCGUAGGCGGUCUGUUGCGUCGGUAGUGAAAACUCAGGGCUUAACCCUGAGCCUGCUUCCGAUACGGGCAGACUAGAGGUAUGCAGGGGAGAACGGAAUUCCUGGUGUAGCGGUGAAAUACGCAGAUAUCAGGAGGAACACCGGUGGCGAAGGCGGUUCUCUGGGCAUUACCUGACGCUGAGGAGCGAAAGUGUGGGGAGCGAACAGG
rnacentral:rRNA from 1 species